CAGAUCCCGUGAAGUCCAACGACAGCGAACCGAGCCAUGGCCGCCCUCGCCCAGUGUCCGAGGUGAGCUUCCGACCAAUCAUGGCCCCCAUAUGCACAAUAGUGAGCAAAAUCCCUUCUCUGUCUUCUGAAAACAGUCUAGAUCCAGCCACUUCAGAUGCCCUGCCUGGUAUCCCGGAUUCACUAAUUUUCGGGCCAUCAACUGGAAGACUGGAGACUGUCGAGGAGGAGAAAGAGGACGAUUCGUCUGAUGGCAGCCCUCCAGAUCACCAACGGUACGCCGCGGGGGUGGUGCCGGCGGAAUGGUAUCCCAGAGAGAGGUUGCCCAACGGUGUUGCAAAAUCUGCUGAUGAUACUGGGUGGAUACGAAGCCCUCUCGCGACUGGCACCUACGCUCUCUCUCUCGCUCAUCUACACAAUAGUGGCGAGAACGGGGGCGGCCGGAGGCGGCCGGAGCCGGGAGCACGAUGAAGCAACGGAGAGAGAGGCGAAGAGCUCGCUGGCUUCAUCCUCUCGGUCGACGAGGAGCUCGCCCAACAAGCUGGCAUACCCAGCCCCGGUGAAAUCAUGGCUUCGUGCUCGUGGCCUGAUUUGCUGUUGUCCUGCCCAGAUUCAUAGAUUCAUAGAAUCAUAGCAUCUGGACAUCUUGGUUCCAAGACAAGGAAAAAUGGCCAGUGUUUCAUGCGCUGGGAUUCUAGAGAGAAUUAUCAUGGCCAUCCCAUAUCUGCGCGGUGAGGAUUUGACUUGAUUUACUACAGAUUUUUGGUUGGUUGUCGUUUUGGAUCCAUUUUGGUAGUAUUUUGUUUUUUCAGAAUUUGGCCCGUUGAUGAUUAUCCACUAAACCUGUUCUGAAUUAUCGAUGAAAUCAUGCUGA